GAUAUGUCUUGUCAUUUUAACGUUGGAAAAGUUCGCAACUCUGUCUUCGAAUCGAUUGUGACUUUUUCUUCAUAUUCUAAUCUCUGCUGAUUAUAAAACGAUGAGAAACUGCACAAAGGAUCGUUGGAUUUCUUUAUUAAGAAUGCGGCGAAUACGGGAGAUGGUCGGCUCCAAAUGAGUGGCGUCGCGACUUAUUGAAUUGGCACUGUCUACAUAUCACAAAGUAAACAAUGGGAAGAGAAGAGAUACGAAAAGCAGGUUUGACAAUUCUGUGAGGAAGAGGAAGAGGAGGAGGAGG